rfam:Triticum urartu cultivar G1812 contig461803, whole genome shotgun sequence.
CAACUACUCCCUCUGUCCCAAAUUUCUUGUCUUAAAUGUGACUUGAUACAUCCGUAUCUAGACAAAUCCAAGACAGGAAUUUUGGGACGGAGGGAGUACUUU